UCGCCCUCCGCCCCUCCCUGGACCCUCGUCCCGCCGCCGACGGAGUGCCAUCGCCUGCGCCCUCCCCGGACGCUUGCACCGCGCCGCCCUGUGACGGGCGCUUGCCCCGCGCCGACAUCGUGCCCUCCCUGGACGCUCGCCCCGCGCCGCCCUAUUGAGGGCGCUGACCCCGCCGCAUCGCCCAGUCCGCGCUCCCGGCGUCCUCGUCCAGCACGCGUGCCUAGCUCCCUCCGGGUUUCUCCUAUCCGCCCUCGUGACGCUGCCUCCCUCCGCGCCCCCGGCGGCCUCCAACAUGCGUGCCUCCCUCCGGCCGGCGCCGAGGACGGCGCCUCCCUCCGAGCUGCUGCCGGGAUCCAGUAGCCUCCAGAGCACCGUCGCGUGAGCGCCCGACAAUCGCCUGGCCCCCUGUACCCUGCACAGUCGCCUAUCCCACCGCCGCGUAGCCCUCGCCGCCUUCCGCCGCGCCGGUAACAGAAGGAAGCCGCUGCUGCCCUGCCGCUGCCCUGCGCCGCCGGAAGCCGCAGCCGCUGCUCGUCCGCGGGCCCGCGGCGCUGAUCCGGCAGGGGACGCUUCGAUCCUGGCCGCUAGCGCCCGAGGGAGCCUCACCGUGUGAAGAAUCGCCGCCGGUCCGGCAGCGACGGGCCGCUGAUCCAAUCCGGCGUGGUAGCACAUGAAGCAAGUCCGGUGACCUCAUGCAGGAAUGGAACCGAUGGAAGGAGGAGAAACAGAUUUAGAAUGUUGUUAUAAUUUUCUGUGUAGAUUGCAAAUUCUUGGUCCCUUUGUUUUGUGAUCCUGGGAACAUUAAUGAAGCAGGGUCAGCUGCAUGGUCGCUGUAGCCCGGUUCUAUCAUGUCAAAAUCUGCGAUGCAUAAUGCGUACAAUGAUCAGAAUUAAUAAAGGCACUGAAUAUGUAAACUGGAUUUUGCAAAAAACAAGGUUUUUUGUACUGUGAUCAUACUCACUGAUUUGUCCUGUUCUUGUUGGAUCUCCAUGUGUAAAUCAUCUUCAGACGUUAAAUCAAUUGUCUCCAAGUAAAUGAGCCAAACAUGUUACAGACAGCCAUACAUUCAGACAAACACAGAAACAGCUUACAGCUCAAUAAUAUAAUUCUGUAGAUUACAACUAAUAUAGCAGAUGCACUAUAAUCCUGCAGCAAGUGUUGAACCUACCAAAAAAGAAUGAUGGCAAUUUGUGUUACCUUAAGCUUAUAUAACAGAAAAUAAAAUCCUUAAAGUUGUCAAUUCACCCUAAUACAUUUAAGUCAUUGGCAAGGUUACUGAACUCAUUAAGUUGGCAAGAUCGCUACAUCAGCAUAAAGGCCUGCUAUGUGUAAAAGUAUGUAACUAUGGAUUGGUACAGACUAAAAUACAUACAAGAAUUUGUGUUGAAACUGUAAGUUCUAUCUGGUAUACGUACACUGAAUUUUUUUUCUGACCGAAAUGGUACCCUGCACCAUAUAUUUUUUUAUUUUUAAAUAAAUGAAAGAAUGUUUACAUAAAGAAAACAAGGCUGCUAGGCCCAAAGAAAAAAAAGAAAACAGAAAAUUACAAAUGACUAUCUCUCCAGUUAACCAGUUGUUAACCAGUUCGAGGGCUUUCGCUGGUUUGGCUUUAGCACAAGCUAGUCCAAACUCCGUACACCGAAUUUAUUGAGGAAAUACAAAACUAAAGGGAAAAACUACCAUUUACGCUGAAACUAUAAGGUCUAACUGAACAGCAGGGUUGAAUCAUGAAUGAUAGGAACACGAAAAUAUAGAACCGAAGAAAAAAAAGUGUCACUUAUGCUGGAAUUGCAAGUUCUAACUGAUCCCCAUGGUUGAAUCAUGCACGACAGAAAUAGAACUAUUAAAUGGGCCAUCAGUGGAGCCAUACCUGAACAUAUAUAGGAUCUAAAACAGCCUCGCUCUAUCCUCUCUCCCUCCGACGCCCACAGGAUAUAUGAAUAAAGCGAGGCCAUACCAUUAAAAUGCUUAUAUAUGCCCACAGCCUCUUACAUAUAUGAAUAAAGCAGGCUAAAUGGCAGGUUUUCGAAGUUAUAACUGAGAAAUAUCCAAUAUCUUAGAAAGAUAAUGUCAGUGUUUAGCAUACAGAAGAUGUAGACCACAGGCAAUGACCAAUGAUACAUCAGUGCUAUAAAUUGCCAGUGCUAUUUUGAGGGCCGAACUGUUUAUGAAUCAUGAAACAACAGUGCUACUUGGCGCCUAUGUCAGAACAUUAAAAUAUAUAUACAUAAAUUGCCAGCUAUUGUGGUAAGUUAGGUAUGAAUUGGAAGCUUUAGCUUUAUCCUAUCUAUUUUGCCAAAAUGAAACUCAAUCAGGAAAUGUUGUAUCACUAGUUAUUUAAUUUUAUCUGUAUGUCAAGAAUAGGCAAAGUGGCAAACACAUAUGAGCAGACAUGAUAAGUCCACCUAAUUGAAGGCACAUCUAAUGUCAAUAAUAAUAUUUGAAACCAUAUAUAUCCUGUGUAAUCAGUGCAACGAAACCUUUUGAGUCUAUAUACCUGAGACAGUAACAGGAAUGGCUCCAUCUAAUUUUAUACAUGAUAAGUCCACCUAAUUGAAGGCACAUCUAAUUUUAUCUGCAUUGCUAUCUUUUCAGAACCAUUGAUCACAUCUGCAGAAAACAUUGCACGGUAUGAAACUAACAAAAGGCUAAAUUAUAACAAAGAAAAACUCAAUGGAUCGAUGUAAGAAGUGUUAAUCCUUUAAUUAUUGAAGCACAACAUUGUCAUGAUAUAUUUUACCAAAAGAUCAUAUCUAAACAUAAACAAUAUGGAGGUGAAUGAAGAGAAAUAUACAAAUUAGUUUAGUUUGGAAAGGACAUGGGCAAAAAAACACGAACAACAAAUUAAGGAAAGGGAGAUAAGAUAUGGAGAUAAAUGCGUACCAGUCUAAUAGAAACUGCAGAGUGUACGUUCCUUGUUUAAUUCAUGAUUAGUUCUCUUCUAUACCACAAUGUGUUUAGCUGCUGUAAAAUGUAUAAAAAAAAAGCGGUACAUGGGCAUGAUAGAUGAUACAGUGCACAUUUCAAUCUUCAUCUGAAUACAAAUAAAGGCAAUUUGCGUGAGCUGUUCUUGCUGCUGCUAGGUCUAGCCCUGUUAUAUUGUAAAAGUUCGCCUUGAUAAGCACUAGCUUUUAUUCAUAGUGACAUUUUUCAGAUGAGGUGGCGAGGGCAAAGCGUUGAAGCACCAUGUAUGAGGCAAGGGUGAACUAAAUCACUGCACCCAGCAUAUGGAUAAGGAAAAAGGUAGAUGACAAGGGCAGCAAAGCAGCAACAGACCACUAACCAAGUCAUUUUUAGCACUGCAUUUAACUCUGUAGUGUGAAUAUACCCAAACACAUGAAUCAUCAUUAUCUUUUUUUUUUCUUCAAUCGAUAGGAAAUUGGAGUUUCAGCAGCUAACUGUUUCUGCACCUUCAUUGAGUCGACAGGACCAUAGUCAUCAUGUCUAACAUAGAGAUAACAUAAAAAAGACCACAUUAGUAAUGUUCAGGACGGAUUAGGUUUUGUUAGGAAACAUACAGGGACAGUAAAAAACAACUUGGUUAUCAUGCACUUGUAAUUAGAAUAGCCAUGUUUAGAUCAGGAAGGAGAAGAUGCAGGUUGUAUGUAUAACCAGGGGGAACUAAAUGCGAAAAUAUUUUGAAUUGGUAAGUCCAUAUAAAAUUUCUAAAUGAUGCCUGCGCUCUAUAGUGUGUACAGGGCAUUUUUCAGUUAAACACCUUAAUGCCAACUACUAAAUUUGUCAAACCUAUAGUAGGUUAGUAUUAGAAUAUCAUAGUGUUUGACUGAAAAAUUUGAAUGAGAUAUUGAAGGGAGGAAUGGAAAAGAAAAAAGGGAUGUAAACUUACCAAUCAUUAAGGAACAUGAUUAAUUUUUUAUCUGAAUCAUGAAACCAUAAAAUGCAGAACAUUUACAAAUACAUAAGCAGACACAAGCAGGAGCACCGCAAGCAACCCAUCAAUGUCAUGAACAGGUUCCUGAAAUCGAAAACAAGGUAUGCAUGGCUGAAAAAUUGAUAAAAAUACUGACAAUGUAAACUCACAGUUGUCUAAUGAAAACUCUAGAAGGAAAUAUACCUAUGCUGACAAUCUGACAUCAAAUAUAUUGACAGACCCAUGCAAGUAUAGGCUUGAAAGUAUGUAAUUCCAAGUAUUUGUACCAUAAAUAUUUCGAAAAACAACUAAGGAGAAAACAAAAAAAGAUUUUAUACCCCAUCUAUCCAUGGAAUGGCCUACCUACGGUUGGAAUCCUCCCUUCUCUCUGUAGUAGUGACAUGCUUGGUAGAUGUUUCAUGUCUAUACUAUAUGCCCAAUUAUAAAAGUCUGUUAUUAGCGUGCUAAAUUAGCCGAGCUGCUGCCAUGGCCCUCUAAAACGGACAACCACUACCUGGCAAUUCUAUCAGGUAGUUGAUAGGUAUCCCUUCGUGUCUAUGCAAAACCACACCAUUUGAGAAGUUUGGAAAUACAAUGACAUGCUUAUUCCAGUCAGAGUCACAGCACAGUCGAUGAAAACACGAUAAUUAUCUUGUUCGUCGUUAUUGAAGCUAGCUUGCUGUUGGAAUCCCUUUGAUGCCAAUUUACAUACAACAGCAACACAGCAAGCGUCAGAGUCACGGAACUACCUUUUCCAUGAGACGAAGCGGUCAACAAAAGCAGGAGAGUCAGCACACUGGUACCCAGCGUCCAUAUCUCCAUAUCUCUGAACCUGAACCUGAAGCUGCAGAAUCACAUAGAGACGCAUCAAUCGCACAAAUCAAAAGGGAGCAGAACACUCUUUUUUUUUUCUUUUUUUGAAAGAAAGCGAGCAGAGGAAUUCCACGCCCCGGAGCUUGUCGAGAGCGCUGAAGCGAGGGGAUUUUUUUUUACAGAGAAGAAGGGAGAGAGGAGGGGGAAUGGCCGUGCUCUGGCCGCCCUCGCCGGCCGUCGGCGGCGAGCCAGCCUGCCGCCGGCGCGUGGCCACCGGCAGCGCCGGGGUCAAGACUACCGUCUCGACAUCGUGAAGACCGAGUUCGGAAAGACGUCUUUUGCAAUGCUAUCGCGUAUGGAGCAGAGUCUGUGUUUUGUGAGGCCUAGGUCCCGUGUCCAGCAUGGCUAAUUAGGUCAUAACUAUCAAAAGAGUUAACAUCAUAUAACUGAUAUAUGUGUCCCAUAACUAUCAAAAUAUUCAGUAACUAAUCAUUAUUUAUGGAAUAGGAAUAAUGGUAGUCAGUAGUCAGGAAUGCCUUUUCUAGCAUAUUUCUGUUCUUUGCUUAGUUGGUGUGAUUUGUUCCAGAAUGUCUUUAACUUUAUCUAUCCCUUCUUACCUGUGGCUGCAAGGACUUGUACAAUCAUAGGCUGAAAAUGACAAUGUCGAUUAUUGAUGUGAAAUACAUGGGGUCAUCUUUUAUUCCAGAAUGUCUUCUAUCCCUUUUUAUAUGUGGCUGAAAGGACUUGUACAAGCAUAGGAUGGUUCUCAUUUCAUUGCGCUAAUUGCUGGUUCAAAGAUGAUAUAUACCCAUACUUACUGCAGGUUAAAUGUUUGUAAAUAACUAAAGGUAUCCUGUGACGUGUUGAUUGCAGGCAGUAGGGCAGCAGUCUAAAACCUCUCAUCCAGCAGGCCACUACCACAGAGGAGGGAGAUCGGUGCUGGCAAGGCACCACAUCGCAAAGUGGCUGUGUGGACAGCGAGCAGAGGCAUUGUGAUUUUGCUUAGAUUGGUUCAGGUAAGAAUGCCAGGUAAUGUUGUAGCUUCAUCAACAGGAGCAGGUUCAAAUGCUUGAUCUCCCAUCCUAAAAGUCUUGGCUGUGAUUAAGUAACGGCUGCUGAUGCACUUGAUGUUGAUGACAACCCCUGCCACAAGAGUUCAGUGUCUCCAAGCAGACCACCUUCUCAGCAACCAUUUCUAAGUGCUGGCCGGAGAUGGAAGCUGCAACAAACUUGGACGGACUGAAGCUUUGGCCCCUGCCCUUGUGGGUUUCAGCUGUGCCUCUUCUGUCAAAGUAGGAAGGAUACAAGAUGGACGCUGCCCGUGUCGUAGGAAGGAAUACAACAUAGCUUCUGGAGCUGUUGUGGCCAUGGCGCAAAAAUUACCAUUGGUACUGGAUGAGAGAUGAAAAAUAUUGGAGGAUCAUAUCUCCAUUUUGCAAUCUAAACUGCUUAAAUAUUGAUUGUAGACUUUUCAUCAUUGGCUUCUAAGGAGGUGCUUAUCUAGAGUGAACUGCAUGUUGGGCUUACAAGAUGUUUGACCUUUU